rnacentral:rRNA from 1 species
AGGGUUCGAUUCUGGCGCAGGAUGAACGCUAGCGGCAGGCUUAACACAUGCAAGCGAGGGGAACAGGGCGUAGCAAUACGCCGCUGACGACCGGCGCACGGGUGCGUAACGCGUAUACAACCUACUGUAACAGGGGGAUAACGGAGUGAAAACUCCACUAAUACCCCAUAUUGACGAGUCUUCGCAUGGGGGUUCGUCGAAAGCUUCGGUGGUUACGGAUGGGUAUGCGUGACAUUAGGUAGUUGGCGGGGCAACGGCCCACCAAGCCGACGAUGUCUAGGGGAGCUGAGAGGCUAGUCCCCCACACUGGUACUGAGACACGGACCAGACUCCUACGGGAGGCAGCAGUGAGGAAUAUUGGUCAAUGGACGGAGGUCUGAACCAGCCAUGCCGCGUGAGGGAAGAAGGUCCUAUGGGUUGUAAACCUCUUUUGCUCCGGAGCAAUAAGGCGGAUGCGUCCGCCGACCGAGACCGUACGGGGCGAAUAACGUCGAUCGGCUAACUCCGUGCCAGCCGCCGC